AAAGUUUCAACUGGUGUUGACAAAAACAAACUUGCGCAUGACUGAUUUAUUUGCGUGACGACUCUUCACAACCGUAUUUGACAAAUCCUCUUCGCGGUCAAUGUAGAAAUGACGAGUUUAAGUCGGCCGUAACGAAUUAUAUUACAAAUUAUUUGCUGAAAAACAAAUCAAUUUGUUGAGGAAAAAUGCAUGACAAAUUUAGCUCCUGAAGACAGUUCGGGACACCCCGCACAUAAUCAGCGUCUUCGAAUCACUCGCCGGUCGCCGUGAUUUUGCUGCGAAGCAAGGCUUGGGUAGAUCGUAAAAGUUUCUUGCAGAGUUUCGCAGGAUUCAUGGUGAGGACCUAAUCACACUGUUCAACCAAGGACUA